UUUCCCUCCAAUCCGUCCAGAACUAUCACCACCCACUCAACCCUUCUCUUGUUUCUGCCCUCACCGUCGUCGUCCAGCCAGCAGUCACUGCCAGUCUCAUCUCAUCUACGGGCGUCGUUCCUAGGCUCGCUCUCCCCGUCUCCUCUUCUCUCUUCUCUCUUCUCUCUUUUCUCUUCUCUCUUCUCUCUCCGAUUCGUCGUCAGCACCGUGGUGCUCGAUCUUCCCCUUCAUCCUCCACUUCCAGAGUUCCAAUGGAACCUCAGUCUCAGUUGCAUAACUUGAUUGUCAAAGAGUAGCAAUCUGCAUUAAUGCUAAACUUUUGAAGAGCAAUUCAUAUAGGAACAAGGUUCCUAGAGGUUUACCUAUUUAUAAGACUCCUUGUAGCAGCAGAUACAUGAUCCAAGAAACGAACCAAGUUCCAUGAAGAGCUAUGGCAUUUCAGCUUGAGGAUACAUUACAUUAUCACAAGCCUUCUACUGAUAUUUAAGGGCAUUCUUAUAGUUGCAUAUUCAAACCCAGAUGUCCAAUCAGAAAUAUAAUUAGAACUGUAUUCCCUUAUGUAAUGUUAUGGUUUUUGUAAGUUUCACUGCUAUGAAAAACAAUGUAGUUUGACCGAAUCACACCAGAAUGUAAAUAAAAAUGUACUAUAUUCUUUCUGAAAA